rnacentral:rRNA from 1 species
GUUAUAUAGUCAAGUGAAUAAGCGUACACGGUGGAUGCCUUGGCAGCCAGAGGCGAUGAAGGACGUAGUAGCCUGCGAUAAGCUUCGGGGAGUCGGCAAACAGACUUUGAUCCGGAGAUUUCCGAAUGGGGAAACCCACCUGUCAUAAGGCAGGUAUCACAUACUGAAUACAUAGGUAUGUGAGGCGAACGCGGGGAACUGAAACAUCUAAGUACCCGUAGGAACAGAAAUCAAUUGAGAUUCCGUCAGUAGCGGCGAGCGAACGCGGAUUAGCCCUUAAGCUUGUGAAUGAUUAGGAGAACGGUCUGGGAAGGCCGGCCAUAGUGGGUGAUAGCCCCGUAUCCGAAAAUCUGAUCAAGUGAAAUCGAGUAGGUCGGAGCACGUGAAACUUUGACUGAAUGUGGGGGGACCAUCCUCCAAGGCUAAAUACUCCUGGCUGACCGAUAGUGAACCAGUACCGUGAGGGAAAGGCGAAAAGAACCCCGGAGAGGGGAGUGAAAUAGAACCUGAAACCGUGUACGUACAAGCAGUCGGAGCCCUCUUGUGGGGUGACGGCGUACCUUUUGUAUAAUGGGUCAGCGACUUAAUUUCAGUAGCGAGGUUAACCGUUUAGGGGAGCCGUAGGGAAACCGAGUCUUAAUAGGGCGUAUAGUUGCUGGGAUUAGACCCGAAACCGGGCGAUCUAUCCAUGGGCAGGUUGAAGAUGCGGUAACACGCAUUGGAGGACCGAACCGACUACCGUUGAAAAGUUAGCGGAUGACCUGUGGAUCGGAGUGAAAGGCUAAUCAAGCUCGGAGAUAGCUGGUUCUCCCCGAAAGCUAUUUAGGUAGCGCCUCGGACGAAUACCACUGGGGGUAGAGCACUGUUUCGGCUAGGGGGUCAUCCCGACUUACCAAACCGAUGCAAACUCCGAAUACCAGUGAGUACUAUCCGGGAGACACACGGCGGGUGCUAACGUCCGUCGUGAAGAGGGAAACAACCCAGACCGCCAGCUAAGGUCCCCAAAUUCCAGUUAAGUGGGAAACGAUGUGGGAAGGCUCAGACAGCUAGGAGGUUGGCUUAGAAGCAGCCACCCUUUAAAGAAAGCGUAAUAGCUCACUAGUCGAGUCGGCCUGCGCGGAAGAUGUAACGGGGCUCAAACUGGAUACCGAAGCUGCGGCUGCAUACUAUGUAUGCGGGGUAGGGGAGCGUUGUGUAAGUCUGUGAAGGUGUGUUGAGAAGCAUGCUGGAGAUAUCACAAGUGCGAAUGCUGACGUGAGUAACGAUAAUGGGAGUGAAAAACUCCCACGCCGAAAGACCAAGGUUUCCUGCGCAACGCUAAUCGGCGCAGGGUGAGUCGGCCCCUAAGGCGAGGCAGAAAUGCGUAGCUGAUGGGAAACAGGUUAAUAUUCCUGUACUUCUUAUAACUGCGAUGGAGAGACGGAGAAGGCUAUGCCUACCGGGCGUUGGUUGUCCCGGGGAAAGGCUGUAGGCUGAGGUGUUAGGCAAAUCCGGCACCUUAAGGCUGAGAGUCGAGACCACUGGUCCUUUGUGACCGGGAAGUGGUUGAUGCCAUGCUUCCAGGAAAAUCUUCUAAGCUUCAGGUUAUAAGGAACCGUACCCCAAACCGACACAGGUGGUUGGGAUGAGUAUUCUAAGGCGCUUGAGAGAACUCGGGUGAAGGAACUAGGCAAAGUGGUACCGUAACUUCGGGAGAAGGUACGCCGCUGACGGUGAUGAGACUUGCUCUCUGAGCUAUCGGCGGUCGCAGUGAAAAGGCCCCUGCAACUGUUUAUUAAAAACACAGCACUCUGCAAACGCGUAAGCGGACGUAUAGGGUGUGACGCCUGCCCGGUGCCGGAAGGUUAAUUGAUGGGGUUAGCUUCGGCGAAGCUCUUGAUCGAAGCCCCGGUAAACGGCGGCCGUAACUAUAACG